UACGUAGGGGGCAAGCGUUGUCCGGAUUUAUUGGGCGUAAAGAGCGUGUAGGCGGCCAGAUAGGUCUGUUGUGAAAACUCGAGGCUCAACCUCGAGACGCCGAUGGAAACCAUUUGGCUAGAGUCCGGAAGAGGAGAGUGGAAUUCCUGGUGUAGCGGUGAAAUGCGCAGAUAUCAGGAAGAACACCCGUGGCGAAAGCGGCUCUCUGGAACGGUACUGACGCUGAGACGCGAAAGCGUGGGGAGCGAACAGG
rnacentral:rRNA from 1 species